rnacentral:lncRNA from 1 species
GAACAUGAGGAUGUGAACCUGAGUAAGACGGAUCUCUACCCAAAGGAGCAUGGUCUAAUAAACAGAGAAGGCUCAGGAGGGUCAGAAACACGGUGCCUCAUUUCUCAGCCUACUUGCCAAGAAUUCCCAAAAAGGAAGCACUGGAGGAUCAUUCCAAGGCUUGAGGUCCAGGACUACCCACUUCCCUUGGAAUGGUGUUGCCAUCACUGUUCUGGCACCGGAGAAAGGAUUCUACAUCGUUAGGAGAAAAGAAAAAGGAGAAUUUGGGCUUGCACUGAGAGGAUUACCUUUGGUGGUCUGGAAGUGGUGGCUGCACAGGGAGCAUGGCUGGGAGGCCUCAGGAAACUGACAAUCAUCAGUAGAAGAUGAAGAGGAAGGAGGCGCAUCUUACAUGGCCAGAGAAGGAGGAAGAAUAAGAAGGGGAGAGUGCAGAGAGGAGGCGAGACCAAGCCUGCCCAGAGUUGGAGUCUUGAGACGUGAGAUUCUCCAGCUGGAGCCCUAUAAAUUGGACUGACAAAAGACAGAUUAGCAAGAGAAAUGCAAGCAGCAGUUUAUUAACAUGUGCAUCAUGAUUACACAUGGAAGUACCCAGAGUCCUGCAACCCAUGGGCACUUCAAGUAAGAAAGAAAGCGGCCUGAAGUGACGAAAAGAAUGAAGCGCUGUCACUCACUG